rnacentral:rRNA from 1 species
GUUGGCUUGGAAGCAGCCAUUCAUUUAAAGAGUGCGUAACAGCUCACUAGUCGAGUGGUCCCGCAUGGAUAAUAAUCGGGCAUAAGUCCGCUGCCGAAGCCGUGGAAUGCAGCUAUAAGCUGCAUUGGUAGGGGAGCAUUCCGCAGGCCGUCGAAGGCUUGGCGCGAGCCAUGCUGGAGGUACCGGAAAAGCAAAUGUAGGUAUAAGUAACGACAAGGAGGGCGAGAAACCCUCCCGCCGAAAGACCAAGGGUUCCUGAUCAACGCUAAUCGGAUCAGGUUAAGUCGGGGCCUAAUGGGCAGCCGCAAGGCGGACCAGAUGGACAGCCGGUCAACAUUCCGGCACCCUUUGAGAGAGCGAUGCGGCGACGGAGAAGUGACACACCCGCGCACUGACGGAAUAGUGCGUUGAACCGGGUAGCUAUACGUGGCGUAGUAAAGUACGCGCCAUGUGGUGAGCCGGGAUAGUACCGAGCGCCCCCGGGCAAUCGGAUAGCGGUGGUAACCAUGCUCCCAAGAAAACCCGCUAAGCAAUCUUUCAGAGGCCCGUACCGCAAACCGACACAGGUGGUCGGGUAGAAAAUACCAAGGCGCUCGAGAGAUUCAUGGUUAAGGAACUAGGCAAACUGACCCCGUAACUUCGGGAUAAGGGGUCCCCGCUCCAGGGCGGGGCGCAGAGAAUAGGUCCAGGCAACUGUUUAACAAAAACACAGGGCUAUGCAAAGUUUAAAGACGAAGAAUAUAGCCUGACACCUGCCCGGUGCCGGAAGGUUAAGAGGAGAUGUCAUCGCAAGAGAAGCAUUGAAUUGAAGCCCCGGUAAACGGCGGCCGUAACUAUAACGGUCCUAAGGUAGCGAAAUUCCUUGUCGGGUAAGUUCCGACCUGCACGAAUGGUGUAAUGAUCUGGACACUGUCUCAACCGUGAGCUCGGUGAAAUUGUAGUAUCGGUGAAGAUGCCGAUUACCCGCAACGGGACGAAAAGACCCCGUGAACCUUUACUGCAGCUUAGCACUGUGACCGGGUGUGCGAUGUGUAGGAUAGUCAGGAGGCAGUGAGACGGCGACGCCAGUCGUCGUGGAGCCGUUGUUGAAAUACUGACCUUCGCACAUUUGGUCUCUAACACGCUUGAGCGUGGACACUGCUUGGUGGGUAGUUUGACUGGGGUGGUCGCCUCCAAAAGAGUAACGGAGGCUUCUAAAGGUACCCUCAGGCCGAUUGGUAACCGGCCGCAGAGUGUAAUGGCACAAGGGUGCUUGACUGGGAGACUAACAAGUCGCACAGGUAGGAAACUAGAGCAUAGUGAUCCGGUGGUUCCGCAUGGAAGGGCCAUCGCUCAAAGGAUAAAAGGUACUCCGGGGAUAACAGGCUGAUCCCUCCCAAGA